CAAUGAUGGAAUUUUACAUGAAAAAGGCUGCCCGGGGAGGAGAGGAGGAGAUAACCUAGACAAUCGAAAGACGAAAUGCCUCCACCUCCUUCUCUUCAAGGACCCGCCAAGAAAGGUCAUCACAUGGGCGACUUCAUUCCUCCAGAAGAGCUUGAAAGGUUUUUGGCUUCAUGUAAUGAUGCCUUUGCCCAAAGGCUGCUAGAGAGGCUGCUGAAAGGGCUAGGAUUCAGGUUGAUAAUGUUGGCCAUAAGCUUUUGUCAAAAAUGGGGUGGAAAUGUCUUUUUUUUUUCUAUUCCCUAUGGCUCUUGGUUUCAUUCCAUCCAGAAGAUAAGGCAGUUUUGAUGUAGCUAGAUCCUUUUGUUAGGAUAAAUGUUUCGCUCAAGCAGCUUAAUCAUUCAUGUGUGCAUGAUGUACUGAAGUUUUCAUCUUCUCUGUGCAUAUGAAUGUGUCGAUUUGUUAAGUACCA